rnacentral:ncRNA from 1 species
GAUAGAAACUUUUUUCAAGGAGCUAUAGAAACAGUACCGUAAGGGAAAGAUGAAAGAUAUGUUAAAAGUUCAAAAAAACAAAGAUUAAACCUUAUACCUUUUGCUUAAUGAACUAACUAGAAAACUUCUAAGAGAACUGUAGCUAGAAACCCCGAAACCAAACGAGCUACCUAAGAGCAAUUUUAUGAAUGCAACCGUCUAUGUAGCAAAAUAGUGGGAAGACUUCUAGGUAGAGGUGAAAAGCCUAAUGAGCUUGGUGAUAGCUGGUUACCCAAUAAAGAAUUUCAGUUCAUCUUUAAGCCUACUAUAAGAAACUGUAAUCUAAAUGUAAGCUUAAAAUAUAGCCUAAAGAGGGCCAGCUCUUUAGGAAUGGAAACAACCUUUAAUAGUGAAUAAGGAAUAAAAUAAACCAUAGUUGGCCUUAAAGCAGUCAUCUAUAAAGAAAGCGUUCAAGCUCAACACUUAAAAACUACUAAUAUGUGAAAUUUUACCUAUUUCCUAUAUUCAUAGUUGGGUUAAUCUAUUAAUAAAUAGAUGAGAUACUGUUAGUCUGAGUAACAAGAAUAUAAUUCUCCACGCACAAGCCUAUAACAACCCGGAUAACCAUUGUUAGUUAACAUACAUGUACAUUAACCUCCUAUGAAUUUACCUACUAUAUAAUGUUAAUCCAACACAGGUGUGCUUUAAGGAAAGAUUAAAAGAAAUAAAAGGAAUUCAGCAAACAUGAAUCCUGCCUGUUUACCAAAAACAUAACCUCUAGCAGCACAAGUAUUAGAGACAAUGACUGCCCAGUGACUGAGUUUAACGGUCUGUAUCCUGACCGUGCAAAGGUGGCAUAAUCACUUGUUCCUUAAUUCGGGACUAGAAUGAACGGCUAAAUGAGGAUUCAACUGUCUCUUAUUUCUAAUCAGUGAAAUUGACCUUCCCAUGAAGAGUUGUUGAUAAAACAAUAACCUAUUGGCCCCAAAACAUAAAACAGAAGUUAUAGAUUUCGGUUAGGGUGACCUCAGAGCAUAAAAAACCCUCUGAAUGAUUAAAGCCAAGGCCCACAAGCCAAAGCACCUAUAAUCUCAUUGACGAAAACAUAUUUGAUCAACGGACCAAGUUACCCUAGGGAUAACAGCGCAAUCCUAUUCAAGAGUUCAUAUCAACAAUUUGGGUUUACCAACUCGAUGUUGGAUCAGGACAUCCUAAUGGUGCAGCAGCUAUUAAAGGUUCGUUUGUUCAACGAUUAAAGUCCUACAUGAUCUGAGUUCACAUCAUUGUCUCUAAUACUUGUGAUGCUAGAGGUUAUGUUUUUGGUAAACAGGCGGGAUUCAUGUUUGCUGAAUUCCUUUUAUUUCUUUUUAUCUU